AAUGAUUUACCCCCUCAGCUCAAGCCAUGCUUUUUAUAUUUAUCAAAGUUUGGUGAAGAUAAAUGGAUAAAAUUGGAGACUUUGUAUCAGCUAUGGAUCGCUGAAGGAAUGAUACUCUCGAGUGACAAGAGGGAAGGAGAAACAAUGAUACAAGUGGCUGAAUCAUACAUGGGAGAACUAGUCCACAGGAAUAUGGUUCAAGUGAGAUUUAACGAUGUAGAAUCAUCGCUUACAAAGUUUGAAUCUUGUUCUCUGCACGAUCUUAUGAGAGACAUGUCUUUAAUACAAGCAAAAGCAGAAGAUUUUUUUGAAGUAAUACAUUUCCAAAGUGGAAAUGAGUUUCAUCUCAAAUCUACUACAGAGUCAAGGUCAGCUUCCACUCGAGUUGUGAUUCGUUUGGAUGAGGAAUAUUCUAGCAAAGAAGCUAAUUACUACUUUACCAAGAAACGCAAUGAAGAAUGCUAUCGAUCAAUUUUACUCCUGGGUAAGUUUGGAGCAAGAAGUUUGCCACAGGCGCUGGGUUCACAUGUUGCCAAUUUUAGGUUCCUAAAAGUCUUUUCUGUGGAGCACUAUACCAAUUUUUCUGGAGCAUUUUCUCAUAUUAAUUUUGGAAGAGCAGUAGGGUCCCUUGUUUACUUGCGAUAUCUCAGUGUAAGGGACACUAAUUUGUUGAUUUUUCCAUCUCUACAAAAGUUGGUGCUAUUACAAACUCUAAAAUUGGAUACCGACAAGAUAUAUGUUUUACCAUGGCUGUCAAGAGAUGUUCUGGUGAAGAUGGAUUGUUUGCGGCAUUUGUAUUUGCCGAAAUUUAAAGUUGACGUUUUGGGAAGGAAAUCGAAAUUACGGUUUAAUGGGUUGAGCAAGUUAGAGACCCUGGAGAACUUUGACACUAGUUGGUGUGAGGUUAAGGAUCUACGUGAGCUAAUCAAUCUUCGGAAACUAACGGUAACAGUGAGGGGUAGCUGUGAUAUUCUGGAAGAAAUGAUGAAAAACUUGGAUGAUGUAGCCUCCUCACCAUCUUCAUGUCUGAGGUUCUUGGGUGUCACUAUUGUUGAUUGUGAUAUUGAGCUGAACAAUGAUCUUACGAUCUUAAAACAAUUGGUAUAUGCUGAAAAUUUGAACCUUCGGGAUUUGAAAAUAUAUGACCUUAUCCCAGAGGUGGGUCUAAUAUUUCCGCUGCAUGUAUCCACAAUUUGUAUUACAACUUUAUAUUUAAGGGAAUCAUACCUGGCAGAAGACCCAAUGCCAAUAUUAGAAAUGCUUCCAGUGUUGAGUGUUCUCCAAAUGCGUGAGGAUACAUAUGUGGGGAAGGAGAUGGUGUGCUCCGCAACCGGUUUUCCUAAACUCACCGUUCUUAUUUUGUACAAGUUCACAAAACUUGAAAAUUGGAGGGUGGAGGAAGGAAGCAUGCCCAUCCUUUCAUACUUGAUUAUUGGAAGAUGUAACAAGUUGGAGGAGCUUCCCGAAGGCCUUGUGUUCCUCAAGUCCCUUCAUAUAGCUCAAAUGCCUCAAGAUUUCAAUGAUAGGCUUAAAAGGCAAGAUGGUGAACAACGACCCGACUUUAUGCAAAUAUGGAGUUAGCCAGAAAUUUUCUUGUUUUAUGCAAAUCCAGAAAUUUGCUCUCUACUUUUAUUCAGUUUAUGAAAUGAACAGUUUACAAGCUCCGAAAGGUAUAUCUAGUGAUUUUGUCCGCACGUUCUCGACCACUUGCAGACCGUCAAAAUCAAUACCAGGCCACAUUUAUUAUUUUCACACUAACUUUUAAGUUGUGGAGGGUCGAGAAAUCAAAAUGCAUGUAACCAGGAUAAGCCAACAAGGAUGCUGUCAACUGUUUUGUUGCAGGACCAGACUCACAACUAUUUGUCGGUGUUAACUGGCCACACUGGACCAGUCAAGUGUAUUCCAUUUCAAGGGUCUUCUGCUCACCAGUGUAGUGUUUACGAUAUGAAAGUAGACCUGCAAGCAUAAAAGCAAGCAAAUGCCAGCCUUCCUAGCAAAUAAUAACUUACAUUUUGCAAUGACUGUUUCCUAACUUUGUGAGCUCAACUGCAUAGUGACUAAGAAAAAAUCAAAGAAAUCAGUUGAUUACAGGUUCUGUUUCACUGGAGUCCAUAAUUAAGCAUAGCUGGUUGAUCUGAGGCAUUAAUCACCAUCCCCUGAAAUGCAUUUUCUUACUGCUCUGUUGGUAAUUUAUUUUAGUAGCAUUUAAUACUCGGAUUCCUGUUGAUUAUGGUUGCUACCCCUACAACUAUUGUAUAAUGUUAAUGGACAUAGAGCAUCUCCAAUGAGAUUUUUAAACAAGUUCUUAACUCUAAAUUUAUAGAGUAAGUUAAGAAUUAUUGCUCCAAUGAGCUCUAAGAAGCUCUUUAAAAAUUUAAGAGCCUACUAUCUCCUCACUUUUAAAGAGCAUGCAGUAGCUCUUAUCUUUUUAUUUGUGAAUAUAAUAUUAAUUUCCCUCCAAUCUUCUCUCUCUUUUAAUUAACUUUUCUCUCUCAUUUAUACAAAAUAAAUAUAAAAUAUGAAUAAAGAGCUACGUAUAAACAGUAGCAUUAAAGUUAUCAUGUUUUUCAAUGUAUUAAGUCACUAGGAGCCAUAAUUUAUAUUAUUGUUGAAGAAAUGAUUUAGUAGCACCAUUGGAGAUGUUCUUACUCCUUGUGAACAUAGAAUAAAUUAUUUUUUUUGUGCCAAUUCAGUUACGUAAAGAUUUGUCAGAAACAUUUUGUUACUCCACACUAUAAAUUGUCGUGGACGAAUUUUGACCCAUGACAAGUUUUCUCUUCAUAACAUUAUCACUUGGAAAGGUCCUUCAGCAAAUGACAGGAUGUCACCAAUUGCCAAAUUCAUUGCAAUUGCGAACUCUUAAAGUUUUGUUAAUUCAUGUUGGAGUGCAUAUAAGCCUGAACUGCUAUAGCUUUAAUAUACAUGAUUUCCCGACCUGAACUGCUAUGAGUGUUUCCUAGAUUUGAUGGUGAUCAGUAUGUUCAUGGACGGGGCAUCGCCGUCUCAGAGGAGAAGCGGAAGAGGAUGCGACAAUAAGAUUUAUGUGUGUAUUGUAUACUCCCUCCGUCUCAUUCAUUUGUAUACAGUUUCUUUUUCUGGACAUCCCACCAAUUGUAUACAUUCCAAAAAUAGUAAACUUUUAUAAUAUAAAACACCAUUACACCAACUAUUUUCCUCCACUAUCUCCAUUCUAUAAUAAUAUAAACACUAUUACACUCAUUACUUUCCUCCACUAUCUCAAAUCUAUUAUUAAAUAUAAAUGGUCCCACCACUAUACCUACUUUUCAUCUAACUUUACUCAUUUUUUACAUUUUUUCUUGGUCUUCGUAUCCCAACCAAAUGUAUACAAAUGGUUGGGACGAAGGGAACUAGAGCACACGUGAUAGUCAUCAAUCCAGUCAUUUUAAUUUGUUCCCCAAGCUUGGGUGGUGUGGAUGUUAAUAUAGUCUGAGAACCAUUCAUGUUUGAGCAAAGAGUUGUGUGUUAAUAUUGUCUAAGAACCAUUCGUGUUUGAGCAAAGAGUCAUUUGAGUAAAUACGAAUGAUCUCCCCUGUAGAUGUAGAAACCAUUGAAGUUAUAUAAAACUCAAGCAAAUCACAAAUGCACACACAGAUGAGACAAGCUCGUUUUAUUAAUCCGAUAAAUUGCUGCUUACAAAAUGAAAGAAACACACUCUGAUAAACUCAAGUUCAGAGUGUUGGAAAAAAAGUCCUACUUAAACAACUAGCUAAGAUGGUAAGGAUAAACAAGAACUGCUGCCUAUCGUUAAUCCACUCCUACAUGCACUCAUGAAAAACAGCUACAGCUACGGCCUAAUCUUGUGUGCACACUGAUCACAUAGCAACUUAUUUAAAAUAACUAAAUUAAAUAAAAAGCAACUGAAGUAUAUCAGAAUUUAGAUCAAACUCCAACAAGCUCCCCUAAUCUAAACUCGAUUGCAGGUUCUUCACACCCAAUAGCUCACACAUUCCCUCAAACUUAGCCCUUGACAAUGCCUUGGUCAAUACAUCAGCUCUCUGUUCAUUUGUGUUGACAUGUACUUUGAGUAUAAUUUCACCACAUUCUACACAUUCCCAUAUAAAGUGGUAGCGAAUAUCUAUGUGUUUACUCCUUCAUGAAACACUGGAUUCUUUGCCAAAUCUAUUGCCCACUUGUUAUCAAUAUACAGCACCACAGGACCAGCCUUUAUAUUCGUCAUCCGUCUGAGAAGUUUAUAAAGCCAUAUGCCUUGACACACAGCUGCAUUGUUUUUGACAUUGCCAUACCUCUAGUAGACCUCUUGUCAUCCACAUUUCCAACUAGGUCGCUGUUUGAAUAUCCUGAGAGCAAGUAGUUUCCAUCCCGUUUAGAAUAAACCAACCCAUAAUCAAGAGUUCCAUUCACAUAACGAAAAAUUCGUUUUGCUGCAGCUAGGUGCAUGACUAUGGGUCUCUCCAUGAACCUGCUUACUAUGCCAACUGAAUAAGCUAUAUCAGGUCUUGUAAAUACAAGAUGCCUGAGUCCUCCAACCAUACUUUUAAGGCUUAAUGACCUUUUAGCCCUCGAAGUAUGAAUGGAAGUUCCGAUGCGGUCUUGAAGUUUAAAAACGUACAAUUCGACCCUCAAAGUAUUUUUGUCGUACCUUUUAGCCCUUUUUAAAAAUACCGGCAUAAAUCGGGGGAUAACUUGAAAAAUAGGCAAGAGCAUAACCCAUCAGCACACCAAGAAUUCCUACUAAUUCUCAUUUUAAGCCGACCCUUGAACAUAUAUAAACCAUGUAGGCAAGUAUUCCUUAAUUAAAGAAUGAAUAAAACUUUCUCCAUCUGUUAUCUAAACUAUUGAAGCCACCAGCGAAGUUGCAACCUUGACAUGUGCCAUUGCUGCAGCAAAAGAAACCUGAUUAUAUCGCAUUCCGUAUUUUACUUUUUUCAGCUUCUCUAGUUAUUCUGUAGGCAAUCCCUUAGUUGCAAUUUCGCUAACAGUAUCCAGCAGCUGGGUAACUAUUUCUUUUGAGAUGAAUAUAACAUUCCCGACAGAUCGGUGGACACGUAGGUAAAGUAUUCCAUUCAUUAUUGUUUUUCCAUGUCAGACAUACCAAUCAUUGCCAUCUGUCAGCAAGGUGGAUGUUGUUGAGGUUAAAUUUUUCAACUUAACGUUUGCUGUUAGUUUUUUCUAAAAAAGCUAAUAGAAUGAUAUAUAACUAGGGGUGUAAAUGAGUCGGGCCGAGCCGAACUCUAGAGUGCUCGUGUAUCGUUUGUUAAAAAAUUAGCGAACUCGAACUCGAGCUCGUACUUAGAUCGAGCCAAAAAUAUUGUUUGAGGAUCGACUCAUUAAGGAAUAACUCUGUUCACGAACGGCUCGUGAACUGCUCACAAACAUGUCUCACGAGCUUUUGCUCACGAACUGCUCAUUAACUUAUGCUCACGAACAUGUCUCAUGAAUUUUUGCUCACAACCGCUCAUUAAUUUUGUUCACGAGCUUGUUUAAUAAACUUUGCUAACAAGCUAGCUUAUGCUUAUAAAUUUUUAUGAGCUUGUUUGUUAUUUAACUUAAUUAAAAUAAAUAAAUUAAAAUUCUAACAAUAUUUUAAUUUAUGCUCUAAGGAAACAUAAAUUCAUAAUAAAUCAUGUUUACGAGCUAGUUCACGAACUACGCUCACGAGCCAAAUUCACAAACCAUGUUUACGAACUCAUUAUUCGAACUUGUUCACGAACUAUCGAGUCGAACUCUACAGUGCUCAAGUUCAGCUCGUUUAUAUAACGAAACCUAAAAUUGUGCUCAGGAUCGACUCGUUUAUGAAUCGAACCGAGUUCGAACCGAGUUUUUUUCGAACCGAACACCGAGCGGUUAUCGAGCGUAUCAACUCAUUUACAGCCCUUAAUAUAACAGUAUUUUAGUGGGUUAUAUGAGUCGCCGUGGAGAUCGGGUAGCUACUUGAUAUAUUUUGCUGAGUUCGGUGGGCAAUCUGAUAUAAAACCCAAAACCAAACCAAAUUAAUACUAAAUUUGAUAUUUGAUAUAAUAUAUGAUUUUGGUUCAUAAACCCGUCCAAAUCCAUAUUAAUCAACUAAAAUUGGUCCAAAACCUGAGAGGUCUACUUACUCUCUCGACACAAUUGGUAUAUGAUGAAAAUUUGAACCUUCGGGAAUUGAAAAUAUAUGGGCAUAUACCAGAGGUGGAUCUAAUAUUUCCGCUGCAAUAUGUUGGGGAUAGUAAUGCUCAUGUAUCUAAAGUUCAUAUUACAAGAUUAUAUUUAUCGAUUUCAUACCUGGAAGAAGACCCAAUGCCAAUACAAUACUGGAAAUGCUUCCAAUGUUGGGUGUUCUCUGUUUGUUUACCGAUACAUAUAUGGGGAAGGAGAUGGUGAGCUCUGCAACCGGUUUUCCUAAACUCACCCACCUUUUUCUGGACAGCUUACCGAAUCUUGAUAAAUGGAGGGUGGAGAAAGGAAGCAUGCCCAUCCUUUCAUACUUGCGUAUUCAAAGAUGUAACAAGUUGGAGGAGCUUCCAGAAGGCCUGGUGUUCCUCAAGUCUACGGGUGUGCACGGGUCGGUUCGGCUCGGUUUCUACCUAAAACCGUUACCGAACCGUGUAUUUCGGUUCGGUUCGGUUUUAGGGUAGAAACCGUAACCGAACCGUUUCAAACGGUUUUUUUCGGUUCGGUUAACCGUGGUCGGUUUCGGUUAUAAUAUUUGUUAUUUUAUCAUAUAUUCAUAUAUAGUUUUAAUUUAAUUAAUUUUAUCGUAAAAAUAAAAUUAUGAUAGAAUAAUGUGGUUAAAUAAAUUUUUAUUUAACAGUUGAAUAAAUUCUUAAUACUUAUGACUAAUUAAAAAUUAGGUCGAACAUAUAUUUUGAUGAGAAUGUUAAAUAUAUUUAUUUACAUGUUAUAAUUUAAGGAGAUCUAUAAGCCCAUAUAUAAAUCAACAACCUCAUAAUAUUUCGUUAGUAAUAAUUAAAAAUAUAGUAUAAAACAUAUUAGAAGUCAAAGAGACGCGUAAUCCCAAAUAUCGAUCCAUUACCUAAUUUUUAAUGUUUUGAUUCGAUAGAUAAUAAUAAAAUAUUAUAACAUAUUAUAAAUUAAUGAGGUCCGUGGGUUGAAUACCAAUGGUCUCACCAAACUCGAUUGAUCGACCGACCAACUAACCAAUUGAACUUUUCAUUUUUCGGCUUUUGGCUUUAACAGUAUAAUAAUAUAUAGUAUAGUAUAAAUUUAUAAUAUCACUUUUAAUGUGAGACCGUUAGAGUAUUUAAAUAUAAUGUUAAUUAAUUUCGGUUGAAAAAUAUCACCUGUUAUUUAUUAAUAAAUAUAUAUAAUAAUAUUAUGUUUUUAUACAUAUGUCGCCUGUGUUAAUUGUAGAAAAACGAUUUUUUAGUUUGAAAAAAAUAUUUAUCUUGAACUUUAAAUCUUUAAAAUUAAAAAAAAAACAUUUUUUUCAACGGAGAAGUUGUGUUUGUUGAAUUACAUUUAGUUUCAAAUUGCAAAAAUACUUUCUUAAAAAUUUUAAAAAGAUUGUAUAUUAUCGAAAAAGAACUCUAAACAUGUGUUAUAUCCUUAAAUUCUAUACUCUCUGGCGCAGAAAAAUAAAUUAUAUUCGAAACAGAUUAUUAAUUUGAACUUAAAGUAGCAGAGAGGUGUUUCGGUGAAAACCCCCGCUUAGUGCACAAUAAAAUAAAUACACAGUGUGUGAUAUAAUAAGAAUAUAAUAUCUUAGCCAUGUCCUUCUUCACACAGUACUUACCUAAACAGUUCCUAAUGCAUCUGUGAAGUGAGGACUUACCUAAACAGUUCCUAUUAUCACGAAUGCAUCAUGAACUGAGCUAACCCUUCCCUUAAAACAUAAUGCAACGAACCUCGCAAUGUCUGUAAGCCACGAGACCUGGUCUCAACUAUUCUAAUAAGUCGUCCCCAAUCAUUCUUAUCUAAUGUCAUAUCACCCGUUCCCGAUCAUUCUUAUCUAAUGUCAUAUCAUCCGUGAGAUUCAAGGCUCUCAUGUCCAAACUUAAUUGAUCAGCCCAUGUCCGACGAGACUCACUUCUCUUUCUCUAGUCAUUCAUUAUUCUUGAGGUGAACAACAUUUAAAAAAAUUCAGAGCCGAGGUAUUCUUACACAGCAAAAUAUCGAUUUAUGAUAAUGUUGGACAGCAGAAAAUGAAAAGGAAGUAAUAUUUCACUAACCAUAUGUGAUAUCCAAUCCCAACAUUGAAAAUUGCUCACUCGAGAGAGACUGUUUUAGUAUCUCAUUAAUUAUUCUCGAAAUGGACAAGUGUUAAAGGAAUCCCGGAGCCACAAAUAUAACCACCUAACGACAGAAUAUUAAUUUAUGAUAGUACUGGACAGCAGAAAAUCAGAGGAAGUAAUUUUUCACUAGCCAAUAUGUGAUAUAUUUUCAUGCCGCCAACACAACAGAGUACAUUGUUGCCCAAAGGUUGCAACAACACACAAAACUAGGAAACUUCAAAAUCUUGACUCCUGCCCAUUGUUCAAACUUUUUCUUUGUGAUCUUUUUUUAUAAUGAAACACUUUUGUUUUUUUUCCUUUAUAGUUAAAACUACAAUAUAUACAGCGUUUAGGACUGGGAAACUGCUUUCUUCAAGACGCUGAAGGUGACAAGCAUAAGCAGUGAUAUCAUGAUCUUCUUUGAAGCAAGUAUCCGCAAGUUCACCUUCAUGCCAUGGUAACUCAUGAGCUUCAGUGUUGCUCUAAUUACUGACAUAAGCCAAGAUACAACGGACAAGAACACCACUUUCAUUGUGUCUGCAGGUCCAUUCACACUUCUUGUGCCUCCCGACACCUCGACACAGGACCAAGCAGCGCCUUGAUUAUCGGUGGUUCCACUAUGAUUGAGGCCAAGUUUCUCGUUCAACCAACAUGAUAAAGUCACAAGCAGCUUUGCAAGCCAUGCAAUCUCAUCACUGGAGACUGGUCGCAUCAACCAGUCACCCCUGUAUUUCUUACCAGUUUGCUUCUUGUUUCGUAUCAAACUGUUAGUAUUUUACAGACUCUAAGAUGUAAUGUCUGAAGAGUUUUCUAGAUCCAUUUUGAGGAUCAUACAUCUGUACUAUAAAAGAAAGAUCAUGUAAUGCAUUUCAUAAGAUGAAAUCAGUUCAAUAAAAUCUUUUUUAGUAAUCAUAUACUUUCAAUUACAACAGGUGGUAUCAAGAGCACAAGUCUAUCCAUUUCGGCACAAACAUUCUCUACACUAUGACAACAUUCAGCACUAUCUCUGCAGAGUCAUAAAAAAUAUCAAAUAGAUACUUUCUAAUAUCUUUUCGAGAAGUAAACUUUGUUUUUCAUUGAGUUUCACACAUUUUUCUUGGCUGUUAGUAUAAUCAACUAAAAGGCUAUGAAUUCUAGUAUUUUUUUAUAAUAUAUUCAGAUUUUAAGAAAUUUAUUUACUAUUUAUUUUUAAUUUUACAACUAUUUUGUUUCAUUUAUAUCAAAUAAAUAAUAAAUAAAUUUCUUAAAAUCUAAAUAUAUUAUCAUAAAUACUACUCCCUCCGUCCCUCCCAUUUCUUUACACUUUCCCUUUUGGGAUGUCCCAUCCAUUUCUUUACAUUUCAAAACUUAUCCAAAAUAGUCAAUUGGUCCCACCACUUCUUCACUUUUCUUUCCUUUUCACACUACUUUUACUCCACUAUCUUCUUUUUAUACAUUAAAAAUCAAUGGGUCCCACCACUUCACCCACUUUUCUUUCUCUUUUCCACUACUUUAUACAUAUUUCUUAACCUCCGUGCCCAACCCAAACAAUAAGAAAUGGGAGGGACGGGAGGAGUAUAAUUCAUAGCCUUUCAUUUGAUUAUACUAACAGCCAAGAAAAAUGUGUGGAACUCAAUGGAGAAUAAAGUUUACUUUUUGAACGGAUAUUAGAAGUAUCUAUUUGAUAUUUCUUAUGACUUUAAUGAUUCAAAUGAGACCAAAAAUUUCCAAGUGAUCCACCUGAUAUUUUCUAGUGCAAAAAGUGACCUAGUUGAUAAUUAACCCAAAUGAAAACUGCCUUACGAGCUUAUGACUUGUGGGAUCUUGUCGAGAAUGAGUUCCAAAAUCUGCAGAUCCUCAAGCUUCCCCACAAUCAUCCAGGUCAUCGACAAUUUCAGUGAAUGAAUCGCUCAAAAGGAACGCAGAUGCACUAGCAAAAACAACAAGCCGUUGCUGAUUAUAUUUUUCCCAGAAUCAUGAAUACUACUUCUGCAAAACAAGCUUGGGAGACAUUACAAGAUGAAUAAAUUCCAAGGCACUGCAAAAGUUUGAACAAUCAAACUUCAAAGCCUGCGAAGAGAAUUUGAGAAUAUCCGAAUGAAAGACACGAGUUAUUGGAGUUGUGAAUCAGAUGGAAGACCUUUGGCGACAACAUUUCAGAUCAAAGAGUCAUUAAAAAAUUGUUAAUUUCUCUCACAAAUAAGUAUGAUUCUAUUGUUGAAAUUAUAGGAGAAUCAAAAGACAUCUCUAUACUUUCUAUCACUGAACUUGUUGGUUCAUUACAAGUAACAAGCUCAUGAAUAACAAAUCUCUCGGCGAAUGUCGAAGGUGCUUUACAGUCACAACCUAGGAAGCAUGAGUGCAGGUGCGGGUACUGGGGUGCACAAUACGGGGAUACGGGAAUUCGGCAAAUUUAAAAAUAUGGGGAUUCGGGUGCGGGGGAUUCGGCAAUUAUUAAUAUAUUAAAAAUAUAUUUUAUACAUGUAUUUGAAGAGUUAUAUUCAUAUUUAAACUAAAUAAAUGAAUAAAUAAGUUCAAUAUCCUUAACAAUAUACAAUAUAAUUAUUUAAUAACACAAUUAUUGCAUUAUAAUGUAGUUAAGUGAUAGAGUAUUCAAUUAAUCACAGAAUUAAUCAUUAAAAAGAAUCCCUAAGAAUCACCGAAUAUCGAAGAAUCCCAAAAAUCGAGUGUGCGGUGCGGCGAGUGAGUGAAGUAUCCCUGCUUUUUAGGUCACAACACAAAAACUGGCCUCCAUCCAAAGGUUGAAAAUUUAGUAAAGGAAAAAAUGUUAGCAACAGCUUCAAGGAAGAUGCAAGGAAAUCUAAAUUCUACUGCAAAUUGUACAAGACUGUCGUAGUGCUAGUUAAUCCAAAGGCAAAACACCUUAGAUCUAGGAAGUACCGGAAGUACGGUACGCAAAUACGGGGAUUCGGGAAAAUGAGGAUACAGGUAUGGGGAUACGACAUACAUAAAAAAUAUUUGUAUUAUAUAUAUUAUAUAUUUAUUUAUAUAUAGCAAAACUAAAACUAACAUUCAAAUUAAAUCAAAGUACAUAAAAAUCAGCCACCAAGUCACCAACUAUAUACACAUAACCUCACACAUAAAUAUUAUCUAUAUUUUAACCAUAAACUCAUAAUUAAGAAAAUUAUGAGUCAAAGCAGGGAAGAACUUACCAAAGACGUAAAGAGGAUGGAAGAACUGGGAAGGGAAAUGGUUGAACAUUGUGCCGGUCUUCCGCUAGCUAUAGUCGUUUUGGGUGGAAUUCUUGUAACAAAACCGUCGUUGAUAGAGUGGGAGAAGGUAUAUCGUGAUAGUAAAUCAUCCCUCAAGGCGGGGAGAGGAUUGGAAGAAGCCUAUCAAAGGGAAAUAUUAAGUUUUUUAGUUUGGAGCUACAAUGAUUUACCCCCUCAGUUGAAGCCAUGCUUUUUAUAUUUAUCUAAGUUUGGUGAUAAUAAAUAUAUAGAAGUGGGGACUUUGUAUCAGCUGUGGAUCGCCGAAGGAAUGAUACUCUCGAGUGACAAAAGGGAAGGAGAAACAAUGAUUCAAGUGGCUGAAUCAUACAUGGGAGAACUAGUCCACAGGAGUAUGGUUCAAGUGAGAUUUAACAAUGUGAAAUCAUCACCUACAAAGUUUGAAGAUUGUUCUCUGCAUGACCUUAUGCGAGAUAUGUCUUUAAUACAAGCAAAAGCAGAAGAUUUUUUUGAAGAUAUACAUUCCAAAGUGCAAAUGAGUUUCAUCUCAAAUCUACUGCAGAUUCAAGAAACACAACUCGACUUGUGAUUAAUUUGGAUGAGGAAUAUUCUAGGAAAAAAGUUAAUUACUACUUCUCCAAGAAACGCGAUAAAAAAUGCUAUCGAUCAAUUUUACUCCUCGGUCAGUUUGGAGCGAGAAGUUUGCCACGGUCGCUCGGGUCACAUGUUGCCAAUUUUAGGUUCCUAAAAGUGUUUUCAGUGGAGAAAUAUACCAAUUUUUCUGGUGCAUUUUCCCAUAUUAAUUUUGGAAGAGCAUUAGGGGCCCUUGUUUACUUGCGAUAUCUUAGUGUAAGGGGCACUAAUUUGUUGGUUUUUCCUUCUAUACAAAAGUUGGUACUGUUACAAACUCUUAGAUUGCAUACAUGCGAUGAUAUGUAUGCUUUACCAUGGUUGUCAAGAGAUGUUCUGGUGAAGCUCGAUUGUUUGCGGCACCUGUAUUUGCCUAAAUUUAAAGUUGACGUUUUGGUAAGGAAAUCGAAAUUACGGUUUAAUGGGUUGAGCAAGUUAGAGACCCUGGAGAACUUUGACACUACUUGGUGUGAGGUUAAGGAUCUACGUGAACUAAUCAAUCUUCGGAAACUAAUGGUAACAGUGAGAGGUAGCUGUGAUAUUCUGGAAGAAAUGAUGAAAAACUUGGAUGAUAUAGCCUCCUCACCAUCUUCAUGUCUGAGCUACUUGGGUGUUGCUAUUAGUAAUUGUCAUCUCGAGCUGAACAAUGGUCUUACUAUCUUAAAACAAUUGGUAUAUGCUGAAAAUUUGAACCUUCGGGAUUUGAAAAUAUAUGGGCGUAUCCCAGAGGUGGGUCUAAUAUUUCCGCUUCAAUAUGUAUCUACAAUUGGUAUUACAAGUUUAACUUUAGCGAGUUCAUGCCUAGAAGAAGACCCGAUGCCAAUACUGGAAAUGCUUCCAAUGUUGGGUGUUCUCUGUUUGUUUAAGGAUACAUAUGUGGGGAAGGAGAUGGUGUGCUCCGCAACCUGUUUUCCUAAACUCACCUCUCUUUAUUUGCAAGAGUUCCCAAACCUUGAAAAAUGGAGGGUGGAGAAAGGAAGCAUGCCCAUGCUUUCAUACUUGCGUAUUGAAAGAUGUAACAAGUUGGAGGAGCUUCCCGAAGGCCUAGUGUUCCUCAAGUCCCUUCAAGUACUAGAUAUAUUUCAUAUGCUUCAAGAUUUUAAUGAUAGGCUUAAAAGGCAUGAUGGUGAAGAGGGACCCGACUUUCACAAAAUUUCUCAUGUCGAUAGACUCAUUAUUGACGAUCAGGAGUUAAAUUGAAUGUUCUUGCAAGCUUAUUAUUCCACAAAAUUAUUAGUUCACUUAUAAGGCUAUAAGCCAUAUUUGUCAAAAAAAACAAAAAAAAACUACUCCUUUAGAAAACGGCUCAGCGUUCUCAGGUUCAUAUUCACACCAUAUUCUCUUGUGAACUAGGGGCACAAUUUUCAUCAUUUUCUUUGUCUUACAAGCAUGCAAUCUAGUCAUUUGAAAUUGAUCACUUUAAAGACCAUCCUUGUGUCUCGUUCAUUUUCCUUGAGGUGAACAAGAGUUGAACAUAUUCGGAAGCAAUAAAUAUAACAGUCUUAUAACAGAAUAUCGAUUUAUGAUAAUGUUAGACUGCAGAAAAUGAGAGGAAGUAAUUUUUCACUGACCAAUAUGUAAUAUGUUUUCAUGCUAUUGCGGCCAACACAACAGAGUACAUUGUUUCCCACAUGUUGCAACAAAACACCAAAACUAGGAGACUUCUAACUCUUGACUCCACCCAUUGUUCAAACUUUUUCUUUGUGAUCUUUUUUUAUAAUGAAACACUUUUGUAUUUUUUUCCUUUAUAGUUAAAACUACGAUAUAUACAGCGUUUAGGACUGGGAAACUGCUUUCUUCAAGACGCUGAAGGCAACGAGCAUAAGCAGUGAUAUCAUGAUCUUCUUUGAAGCAAGAAUCCGCAAGUUCACCUUCAUGCCAUGGUCUCUCAUGAGCUUCACUGUUGCCCUAAUUACUGAAAUAAGCCAGAAUACAACGGACAAGAACACCACUUUCAUUGUGUCUGCAGGUCCAUUCACACUUCUUGUGCCUCCCGACACCUCGACAUAGGACCAAGCAGCGCCUUGAUUAUCGGUAGUUCCACUAUGAUUGAGGCCAAGUUUCUCGUUCAACCAACAUGAUAAAGUCACAAGCAGCUUUGCAAGCCAUGCAAUCUCAUCACUGGAGACUGGUCGCUUCAACCAGUCACCCCUGUAUUUCGUACCGGUUUGCUUCUUGUUGCGUAUCAUUCUAGGACUAAAUAUCUCAUCACGUGGAUGCUGAUUUUCUCUUGUCUCGGGGACUGCUUGUGUGUUCCUUGGAGUAGAGUUACCAAAUAAGCACCCCAUCUGGGCUUUGAUAGAAUCUAAACAAGCCAUAUUGUGAGCAUGAUUAUCUCCCAAGACGGUCUGCAGCUCCGACUCAGCACGCAGCACAAAGAGCUGCAAUUACAAUGUGAGUAGUGAGUGAGACUUGAGAUUUAGAAUGAUGUCAAUAUGCUUAAGACCUGCACAAGAAAUACAAGAAACAUAUACAAAAUAAGUAAACGGAAACUAUAACGAAUUGAUCCUGGGAUAAAAAUAUAUACUAAUUAUAAAAGAAAAUUUCCCCACUGUUACCCUGACUCUUCAUUUUGCCUCAAGUACACGUGUCGGACACUCAACACUUGAACAUCGGACACUCAACACUUGAACAUAGGUACAGACACUACAGAACUUAUUUUAGGCCAAAAACAUGUAAAUUUUCAGAAUACUACCGAGACACACUCGGACAGGUAACCAUGUUGGACACUUUUAGCUGACUCCAGGUAAUAUAGAUUCUUCAUAUGUAAGCUUACCAGAAGUAUCCCAUCAGUGCCCAUAAAUGAAAAGAAGCCGAAAGAAACUAUAAAAGAGGAAUAUAGCAGAUUAUUAUUAAUUAGUAGCCUUGCAUCAGUUUCCUCUAUAAUUCAACACAAGUAGCUUACGCGGAUAAAGACAUUCUUACCAGAUGCUGACGCAAGGAUUGAUGUAGAAAGAAUCCGGAUUUUGCUCCGGGAUGUACGAGAGCUUGCCUAUGAUGCUGAACAUGUUGUCGAAACUUUUGUUAUUAAAGCCUCAUCCACUAAAAAACCAUUUCAGCGGAUGAACAGAGUCAAGUUUUCAAGAAAGAUGAAAAAUAUACAGAAAAAGAUGUCCCUCCUCUUCAAUUUAUUUUCUGAUUAUAAUAUCAUACCAACUUCUGAAUCAACUUUCUCAAACAGGGCAAGUUUUCAAGAAAGAUGAAAAAUAUACAGAAAAAGAUGUCCCUCCUCUUCAAUUUAUUUUCUGAUUAUAAUAUCAUACCAACUUCUGAAUCAACUUCCUCAAACAGAGAAUCGGGAAAACUUAAGCGAUUUCACUCUUUCACUACUCCUGAACCAGAGUUAUUUGUUGGAUUUCAUGAAGACGUUGAAUGCUUGGUGCGACAUUUGGUGGAUGAAACUCAUGAUUCUUACCCACUUAUAUCUAUUUGUGGAAUGGGGGGCCUGGGAAAGACUACUCUCGCUCAAAAGAUAUACAAUCACUCUGCCAUCAAGACUCACUUUGCUGGUUUAGCAUGGGUAUCAAUUUCGCGAAAGUGGCAGACAGAUCGUGUGUUGCAGAGAAUUCUCAUAUGUCUCGUACCUGAGAACAAAGAAUCUAUCCUUAAUAUGGACAGCAACAAGCUAGUGGAGUAUAUGCUACAUAUUAAGGAACGGAAAAAAUGCUUGAUAGUCCUCGAUGACAUAUGGUCAACUGAUGCUUGGGAUGCAUUAAAAGCUGCAUUCCCAGCCGGGAAGUCCAUAAGCAAAUUAAUGCUUACAAGCCGUAAUGUUGAGGUUGCUAAGCAUGUAAAUUUGAACGGAUUCAUUCACAAGCCAGAAUGUCUAAAUCCAGAACAAAGUUGGGAGCUACUCAAGUUGAAAGCACUUCACACAGGAAAUUGUCUAGGUACAUAAUUUUACUUGCGUUAAUUAUAGUUCAUAUACUUUUUCCGCACCCUAUCUUUGGUACGACAGCCUUAAUGAGCCAUAUUUUCUGUUACUUGAGUUGGAUAAGUUUGGUUAGAGAUCUGCCCAGACAACCUUAAAUAACAUUGUUCUGUUCAAGUAACAUUUUUUUCGUGUUUGUUUGAAUUCGUUAGUCGUUUACAAACGUAUGUAUUAGAAUUGUAAACGAAUGUAACAGUUCAUUAAGUGCCCUCUUGAGGUUGAGUUAACGAACUCGAAUUCAAACCACAUAUUUUGUUUGAGAACCUUAACAAACUUUAUGGGGUUCAGUAAUUUUUGCUGGUGUUGACUCGAAGUUUAUCGGAGUUAAGUUCAUUAACCAUUUCCCUUCCCAGUUCUUCCAUCCUUUUUACAUCUCUGGUAAUGUCUGCAAAACACAAGAUACGGGAAUCAUAUGUGUGUAUAUAUAGACACACAAACGCAAGCCAAGAUAAUUUCUAAUUUAGUCAUUUGACUGGUGCAAAUAUUUAAAAGACACGUUCAAGUUAUAGCCCUAAUUGAACAUUGUGCCGGUCUUCCGCUGGCUAUAGUCAUUCUGGGUGGAAUUCUUGUAACAAAACCGUCGUUAAUAGAGUGGGAGAAGGUAUAUCGUGACAGUAAAUCAUCCCUGAAGGCGGGGAAAGGACUUGGAGAAGCCUAUCAAAGGGAAAUAUUAAGUUUUUUAGUUUGGAGCUACAAUGAUUUACCCCCUCAGCUCAAGCCAUGCUUUUUAUAUUUAUCUAAGUUUGGUGAAGAUAAAUGGAUCAAAUUAGAGACUUUGUAUCAGCUAUGGAUCGCUGAAGGAAUGAUACUCUCGAAUGACAAAAGGAAAGGAGAAACAAUGAUACAAGUGGCUGAAUCAUACAUGGGAGAACUAUUGCAUAGGAGUAUGGUUCAAGUCAGAUUUAACAAUGUGGAAUCAUCACUUACAAAGUUUAAAGAUUGUUCUCUGCACGACCUUAUGAGAGACAUGUCUUUAAUACAAGCAAAAGGCGAAGAUUUUUUUGAAGAAAUACAUUUACAAAGUGGACAUGAGUUUCAUCUCAAAUCUACUUCAGAUUAAAGGCCAGCUUACACUCGACUUGUGAUUCAUUUGGAUGAGGAAUAUUCUAGCAAAAAAGCUAAUUACUACUUCUCUAAGAAAGGCAAUGAAAAAUGCUAUCGAUCAGUGUUAUUCUUUGGCGUCUUCGGUCCGAGAAGUUUGCCACGGGCAUUGGGGUCACAUGUUGCCAAUUUUAGGUUCCUAAAAGUGUUUUCUGUGGAAAAAUACACAAAUUUUUCUGGUGCGUUUUCUCAUAUUAACUUUGGAAGAGCAUUAGGGUCCCUUGUUUACCUGCGAUAUCUUAGUGUAAGGGGCAGUAAUUUGUUGGUUUUUCCAUCUAUGCAAAAGUUGGUGUUGUUACAAACUCUUAACUUAGAUACAUUCGAGGGUAUGUAUGUUUUACCAUGGUUGUCAAGAGAUGUUCUGGUGAAACUGGAUUGUUUGCGGCAUCUGUAUUUGCCGAUAUUUAAAGUUAACGUUUUGGGAAGGAAAUCAAAUUUUCGGUUUAAUGGGUUGAGCAAGUUAGAGACCCUGGAGAACUUUGACAGUAGUUGGUGUGAUAUUAAGGAUCUACGUGACCUAAUCAAUCUUCGAAAACUAACGGUAACAGGGAGAGGAAGCUGUAAUAUUCUGGAAGAAAUGAUGAAAAACUUGGUUGAAAUAGCCUCCUCACCAUCUUUUUGUUUGAGGUACUUGGGUGUUUGUGUUCUUUAUUGUCAUCUUCGGCUGAAAAACGGUCUUACUAUCUUGAAACAAUUGGUGUGUGCUGAAAAAUUGAACCUUCGACAUUUGAGAAUACAUGGGCGUAUCCCAGAGGUGGGUCUAAUAUUUCCAGUGCGAUAUGUUGGGGAUAAUUAUGCACAUGUAUCUACAAUUCAUAUUACAAGUUUAAAUUUAUCGAGAUCAUACUUGGAAGAGGACCCGAUGCCAAUACUUGAAAUGCUUCCAAUGUUGGGUGAUCUCUUUAUGUUUACAGAUACAUUUGUGGGGAGGAAGAUGAUGUGCUCCGCAACCGGUUUUCCUAAACUCACCAAUCUUUGUUUGUACGAGUUCCCCAAUCUUGAAAAAUGGAGGGUGGAGAAAGGAAGUAUGCCUAUCCUUUCAUACUUGCUUAUUGAAAGUUGUAACAAGUUGAAGGAGCUUCCAAAAGGCCUGGUGUUCCUCAACUCCCUUCAAGUAUUAAGAAUAUACCAAAUGCCUCAAGAUUUCAAUGAUAGGCUUACAAGGAAUGAUGGUGACGAGGGACCUGACUUUCACAAAAUAUCUCAUGUCGAUCCGUAGAGUCCGUAUAGAUAAUGAUCAGGAAUACAACUGAACGUUCUUGUAAGUUCCUAAGUUGUAACGUUUUUGUUUUGGUCUUGAAGAACAGAUUGUUUGAGAAACAAAUCAGAGAUAUUAUUAUAAUAUAUAGUAAUAAUUUUUUGAUGAGAAUAAAGGAGGUGAGAUCAACCUUAUUUAAACUGAUUGCUUCCUAAGGUUAAAUGACACACAUGCAUAUGCUCGUUAGGUAUUGUGUAAUCUCUCUAUUUUUAUUAAUAAAAUACCUCUAUUUACCUGAUAAUAUCUUCACUCCAUCUACAUACAUCAAAAGUAAUUCAUUUUUUUUGUCUUAUGUUGAUUCUGGGCCUUGGAAUGGAAUAACAAACACACGCAGAUGAGUAUAAUUCAAAGUAAUCUUCUUUUGAAUGUAGUUUAUAAUUCACUUUAAUUUUUUUAGGAAAUGAGCAAUAAUAUUGAAGAUUGUCAAAUUCUGGAAGAUUCGCCAUCUGAGGAUUCAUUGUCUACCAAUUUACAAGAUACCUACACUGCUGAAUUGGAUAUAGAGGAUGGUACACGAGCAUUUUUCAUGUCUCAUGAAGAUAUGUUAUUUCAAUCACAAGAAGAAGCAUAUAAUUUUUAUAACAGCUUUGGUUUGACUAAAGGAUGUGCAAUAGGUAAAUUUUAUAUAUACAAGUCUUAUGGUGAGAAGAACUCUUGUAUCUGAUAGAGAAGGUUUCAAAAACAAAAUAAGAGGAUGAUAGUGAGGACAACAUAAAACGACGUCGAGAAACUAGAUGUGGUUGCAAAGGUUCAAUGGAAAUUAUCCUAAAGAAAUUAGGGACAUGGAAAAUGAAAAAAAAAUUAAUAAUAUCCAUUCACAUGACUUGCUCAAGAGUCCGAAUAAGAAAAGAAAAUUAAGGUCUCAGAACAAGUUUCAUUAAGAUGCAACUUAUAAGAAAUUGAUUGAUAAAUUUAGUAGUUGCGGAGUUGGGCCAACAAAAAUAUCAGGCAUUAUAAAUACUGCUAGUGGUAGUGUUACAGAUGUCAUGACACCCCAACAAUAUUCUGAAGAGUUAAGAAUUAAGAGAAGAUAUUCAGAAUCAAGAGAAAAAAUAACAUCGGCAAGGAGUGUAUAAUUAAUGUAGUGCAGAUUAUUUUUAGAGAGGAAAGCAAGAUAUUCUGAAUUUUAGUAUGCCAUUCAACUUGACGAACAUGGCUGUACGUAGAAGUAUUUUCUGGUGUUAUGCCAGAGCGAGAAAAAUUUUAUAAGAAAAUUUCUAAUGUGAUAGUAUUAAUCGGGACUAAUACAAUUUAUUGUAGGAAUGGAGUCUUCUCAAAGAAGUGAAAGUACGAAUUCGUUUUUUGAUGGUUAUGUCAAUAGCAAUACUCCUUUGUCUAUAUAUAUUGACACGUAUGAAAAAGAAAUUACUGGCCAUCGUGAUAGAAAAGAGAUAGCGGAUUGGAUUAAUUAGAACACUGGCAAUGCAUGCCUUGGCAUCUCAGUUAGCUGUAUAUUCAUCAUCUCAUCACGAAAGGGCAGCUAUUUUGAGCGGAUGCGGAUCAAGCAAUAUUAGUUUUACUGGGGGUAAUCGCAUGACUCUCCUAGCCGUUCCACAGGGAGCUAUUUUAUCACUGAAUAGCUCUAAUGACCCAUCACCAAUAGCUUUUGUUUAAGCUCUUCUACCUUUUUUUCUGAUUCAUCCCAUAUCUAUGUCAAGUUCACGUAGCAUCACUCAUGGGGCGCACUACAAUUCCUUGUUGAAAUAUUCACGAACAGGAAGUAUGUAUUAAUAGCAAUGAGUGAUGCUAUUGUUCCUCUGGCAAGUGGUAUAGAAGAGCUUUUGCGCCAUGUUUCUUCACUGAAGAGUUUUGGUGUUCAUUUAAUAAUCAAAAUUGUCAAUAAGAUUUCCUUAAUAGGGGACUCUAGGCUUACUGUGCCCUCAGAAAAAGUCGAUGGGAGUACUUCAAUGAAGAACGCACCUGGUAUGCUUGAAAGCUAAAGUUUAUAAUCUAUUAUGUCUUAUUCUUCAUUACAAUUAAUAAAUCAUCGAUCUUUCAUACGCAAGUAUGGUAAUUUAUGGGGGUUCUACUGUAUUAGACUAUUAGGUGUUGUAUUAGAUGCUGAAUUUCUUAUCUCAGUUAUUAUUUAAUAAGCAUGUAGGAUAAAUUAUUGUCGAUGAAGGUGAUGCAAAAAAGAUGUAUACCGGGUCAUUUUAUAAUUGUUUAGUAAUUUACCCUAGAAGUCCACGAGCUACUCGGUUGUUAAUUAAACUUUGUUUUUACAUGCUCAUCGUUUAGUAAUUUACCCUAGAAGUCCAUGAGCUAAUCAGUUUGUUAAUUAAACUUUGUUUUUACAUGCUCAUCGUUUAGUACUUGAUGAUUGUCAUUUAUUUGGGAAUUGAAUAAUGAAUUAAUAUUUAUAUACACAAAUAGGUUCAUAUCUAUUAAUCGGCUCUAGUUUAACUAUCAGGUUUUAUAAUUGUAAACACUACGCCAUAAAAGGCCUAUCGCAACGCGACCUUUGUAAAUGUUGCUAAAAAAUGUUACCUUAGCUACACUACUUUCACCCUUCCGCAACAUAAUAUUUUUCAUGUUAGCUUAGCCAAAAAGGGGAUGUUGCCUUUGUUAGAAAGUGUUUAAGGGUGCAACAUGGAGACAAAUAUGUUAGCUUAAGCUAUUAAAAUGUGAAAAUAAUAUUUUAACUUAAAAUUAAAGAAAAAAGUAAUUACUUGUAUUAAAAAUAAAAAUAGAAGUUAUGUAAUAAUAUAAACUAAAAAUAUAAAAAAUUAUAUAAAAUAUUAAAUAAUUUAAUAGGUGAAUGAUUUUAUUUUAAAUAAUAAAUAUAUGUUUAUUUAUUUAAAAAGUAAAAUAAAAUGUAAACAAAAAAAUAAAAUAUAAACUAAAUAUAUGUAUAUAUGUUUAUUUGAACAAGCGGGCGUGGUUCCCGGUGAAAUCAGACAAGCAGCGGGACUUUGUUUCACUAACACCCCGCCCCAUUUUUUCACUUCCUUUUCCACUCACACUCAGUCAUCUCUCAUUUUCCACACAGUCCUCUCUCGCUCUUCACCCCCACAUCUCGUCUCUCUCUCUCUCUUUUCACCCCCACAGUCGCCUCUCUCUCUUUUCACCGUGUCUCUCUCGUCGCUCUGGUCUCUCUGGUCUCUCAUCAGCACAUCUCUCUCAUCUCAGGUUUGGAUUUCAAGUUAGGGCAUGGUUUGAGGGCUCGAUGCUUUGAUACUCCUAACUAGGGGUUUCUCUCUUUAAAUCAGGGCUUCAUUUCUUUAUUUUCUUCCAUUUACAGGUCUUUCUUCUUUUAAACUACAUCUAAUCGUACUUUAUCUUUGAUUUCAGGUAUUUUCAGCGGAGGCUUUGCAUUUGGAAUUAGGUAUGGUGGCUUUGAUUUAAUUUUUUUCAUUUGUAUAUAGUGGGGGCUGUUAAUCUAACUUUAUUUUCUAUUUUCAGGGCUUCUUCGGUUGAUUUUAAGGAUUUCAUUUAAAGGAUUUAAAAUUAGGGUUUCAGUUUAAAGAUUUUGCUACAGGUAUCUCCCUCUCUGCUUCAACAUUUUUGAGUUUUUGGGUUUGUUUUUGUUGUUAUUUGUUUUUAUUAGGGAAGUUAUCUGAUUUUUGUUUUUAUUAGGGGUUUGGAAUUGCAUUUUAUGAAUCUUUGUUGUUUUCAUUUUGUGGCAUUUGUUAUUUGUUGCAUUUUGUAGUUAAUAUUUGUUACUAGUUAACAUUUGAUUUAUAUUUUGUGGUAAGUGUAUGUGUCCAGGACUUGUUAUUAAAUAUUUAUGCUUGAAAUAGGUUGUUCUGGUGACCAGUUAUGACUCUGUUUUGUGGUUUCUAUAUGUAUGCUCUGUUUAUAACUUAAAAAAUUUGACAAUUAAGAGUAGCUGGUGUUGAUUCUCUGUUGAACAUUUGUAUAUUUUUGUGCUCUGCUGCCAUACAUGUAAGAUUCCAUUGUAGAUAUUGUGAGCUAGUUGGUUAGAUGCCAUAACAUAUUAUCUUGGCUCAUAAACUCUAUGUAUACUCUAUAUAUAACUUAAGGGAAUUGCGAUAAAUUUCUAUGUAUGACUUACCUGAUUAAAAGAAUAUUGUUGUUAAUGAUUUGUAUGAUUAAUAAUAUGCAUGUGUUUGGUCUUAUAUUUGAAAGUGAAACUAUAAAUUAUGACAUAUAUGUAGAAUUAAAAGUAGAAUUGCAAAUUUUUUUGGAUAAAAUGUUGCAGUAGCCUAUUUAAAUGUUGCAAAACUUGUAUUUCAAAACUGUUGCAGUAUAGGAAAAAUAUGUUGCCAAUUUAGCUGCUGCCACCUGGCAACUUGAUGGCCCCCACGUGGGCCCCACAGUGGCCCCCACGUGGGCCCCACAAUGGCCCCCACGUGGGCCCCACUUUUUUAAAAAAAUAAAAUUACUCUAAGGUAACAUAAUUUUUUGUUGGAGUAGGAGAAUAAAAUGUUAGAUUAAACACUCUUUGCUAACAUAUCUCGGUUGUUGCUGUAGGCAAACGAUAUGUUGCCUUAGACCCCCUAAGGCAACGGCAAAAAUCCUAUCAUAAAAUAAAUGUUGCCUUAGCCCUUUUAUGGGCCUUUAGCAACAUAUUGACCCCAUUCUGCAACAAUUUUUUUAUGUUAGAUAAGGCCUUUUAUGGUGUAGUGAAACUCGAUGCGGCUAGCUUGAGUAAACUCGACGCGGCUAGAUUAGUAAAUUCGACUUGACUUACACAAGAAGUGAGCGGGAGUCGAAUAAUAUAUAUAUUCGAGAAAACAAAGGAUAAACACAUAACUUGGAUUAUCUAAUAACGCUUAACUCGACUCACACUUAUUUAUUGUGCUAGCAAUGCAAACUUGGACUCUAACUAAUAGGGUUAGUUAUCACUAGGUCACUUUUUACACCAGAUAAUAUCAAGUGAUCACUCGAAAAUUUUUGGGCUCAUUUCAAUCACUAAAGUUAUAAAAAAUAUUAAAUAUUUACCUCUAAUAUAUUUUCGAGAAGUAAACUUUAUUUUUCACUGAAUUCCAUACAUUUUUCUUGUAUGUUAGUAUAGUCAAAUGAAAGGUUAUGAAUUUCAGUAUUUAUGAUAAUAUAUUCAGAUUUUAAAAAAUUUAUUUUCUAUUUAUUUUUAAUUUUACAAUUUUUUUUGUUUAACUUAAAUCAAAUAAAUAAGUACCCCAUCCGUGCUUUUACAUAUAAUCAAGCUCUCAUGGACCACAGAUGGGUUGAUGCCAUGAAUAAAGAGCUUCAUGCUCUAGAAACAAACAAUACCUGGCAAGUAGUUUCACCUCCCCCAAAUAAAAAGGUCGUUGGUUGUAAGUGGGAUUAUAAGGUAAAAUACUUGUUAGAUGGCUCUUUAGACAAAUUCAAGGCAUGCCUCGUUGCUAAGAGAUACACAUAGAUUGAAGGGCAGGAUUAUCAUAAUACCUUAUCACCUGUAGCUAAGAUGGCUACAGUUCAGACUGUCCUGGCAUUAGCCACUGUCAAACAUUGGGACAUACACCAGUUGGAGGUCAAUAAUGCGUUCCAUCAUGGUGAAUUAUCUGAAGAAGUUUAUAUGGAACUUCCUCAAGGUCACCCUGUUCAUGGUUCUGGUCUUGUUUGCCGCUUAAUCAAGUCUAUAUAUAGUUUGAAGGAAGCAUCACAGUUAUGGUUUGAGAAACUUGCUUCAGUUUUGCUUGACCUUGGGUUCACUCAAAAUAGUUGCAUAAUACUUUUUAUUUGUCAACAAAACAGAUGUUGUUUUUAUAGUUGCCCUACUUUAUGUCGGUGACACAUAUACUUCUCACUGGUAACAGUAGUGAGUUUAUUUCUCAUGUCAAAUCUGUUUACCAUUCUACUUUCACCAUCAAAGAUUUGGGCUUAGCCAAGUACUAUCUUGGUCAUGAGAUACACAGAACUACAGAAGGUCUGUAUUUUCACCAGCACAAGUUCGUACAUGAUAUUCUUCUCGAAGCAGGUUUGGAACAUUGUAAUCCCUUGUCUUUGCCUGUUGAUCACACCAUUAAACUUUCACCCACUGAUGGUGAACUUUUAUCUGAACCCACCAUUUAUCAAAAGUUUGUGGGGAAGUUGCUUUACCUAACCGUUCAAGGCCUGACAUUACAUAUGUUGUACAUCAUUUGAGCCACUUUUUGCAAAAUCCUCGUGUACCUCAUAUGUUGGCAAUGCAAUGUGUUUUACGUUACUUAAAAGGUACACCCUACCAAGGCUUGUUCUACUCUGCAAAUACUACCCUCAAACUUCAGGCGUAUUGUGACAGUGACUGGGGGUCUACAUUGGAUUCUUCUGGUAUGCUGACAAGCAUCACUAGCAUGUGUUUUACUUUGGGAUCUUCUUUUGUUAACUGGCUUUCCACCAAGCAGAAGGUCGUUUCUCGAUCCACAGCUGUGAUUGAACUCGGGGCUGUUGUAGAUACUGCAUGUGAGGUUUCUUGGUUCAAUCUGCUGUAAGGUGAACUCCAAGUACCUCAGUCUUUGCAUGUUGUAAUUCAUAGUGAUAACCAGGCCGCAUUAGAUAUUGCUGCCAACCCGGUUUUUCAUCCUCGUUAUCUUCCUCGUGCAUCUCAGCUGGCUAAUAUUUUCACAAAAUGCUUGGGGCGAUCAGCUCAUUGGCAUGUAUUAUCUAGAUUGAAUGUUUCACAUCCACCUUCAAUCUGAGGGGGCUACUACACUGCUUAUCACCAGAACUCCACUAUCUCUUAUCAAGGCUACUUAUCAUAACCGUUUUAUAACAGAAUUCUGUAUAUAGUGCGGAUAGCUUGUAGUUGUUUCUCCAAUCUUCUCUAUAACAAACAUUUUUCUCUCUUCAAUAAUGUGAAUAUGUUAAAGUCAAUACUAGUCCCAAGUAACCCCAAAGUCUAAGAUAGAGCUACCAAUUUUUUGGUUUCUAGUUAUGUAGUCCAGCAGUAUAAUAAAGGCAACUACAAGUUUCUGGUUGUAUAGUUUAUGGUUGAACUAUUAUAUGAUUAUACAAUUCAACGGCUUAGAUUAUGUCUGGUAUAUAUAUUGUAAGGUGUAUUUGGGCCUGUUAAACAGCCAUCAAUCGGCGGAAUGCGAUAUAUGGUUACAUUUAUUGUUAAAGCAAUGUUUGCUUUAAAGAUUUAAUCGAAGGAGAGUCGACCCACAAAAUCAAGUGCUUACGUAUAGACAAUGGAGGAGAGUAUAGCUCAAAGGAGUUUAGUCAAUAUCUACGAGCUAAUAAAAUCCGUCAUCAAUUUACAUGUGCAAACACACCCCAGCAAAACGGUGUUGCAGAGAGGAAAAAUCGACAUCUUGCUGAAAUAUGUCGAAGUAUGUUACAUGCUAAUAACGUGCCUGGAAAAUAUAGGGCUGAAGCUAUAACUACGGCAUCUCUUGUCAUUAACAAGCUUCCUCAACCAAGGCUGGAUUUCGUCACGCCUUUUGAAAAAUUAUGGACAAAGAAACCUGCUGUAAGUUAUCUUCGGGUGUUUGGUUGUGUUUGCUAUGUAUUUGUUCUUGAUCAUUUACGUAGCAAGAUUGAUAGGAAAGCAGUCAGAUGUAUCUUUGUGAAAUACGACAAUCAACGAAAAGGAUGGAAGUGUUGUGAUCCAACAACCGGAAGAUGUUACACAUCACGUAAUGUGGUUUUUGAUGAAGCAUCUUCGUGGUGGACUUCAGAGAAAGAAAUAGCGCCUAUCACUGAAGAAUUUGAGAAAAAGAUGGAACAAAAGAUGAGUGAGCAUAUUGUUCAAAUUUUUCCAAGUUCAGAUGGAGAUAUACGUAAUGAUGAUGAGCCAAACGUCACAAAAAAUCCUUGUAAAUCUGGUAUGUAUUAACAACCAGAUGAAAGCUAUAAUUCUGGUGAAGAAUCAGCUCCAUAACGAAGGUCAACAACAACUCGGAGGGCAAAUGUUAGAUAUGCUAAUGCAGCAAUAAUCGAAGAAAUAGAACCUGAGACGUUCGAAGAAGCAUCACAAAAAUCAAAAUGGAUAACAUCUAUGAAAGAUGAGAUCAAUUCCCUUCAAGAGAAUCAAACUUGGGAAUUAGUGUCAAAGCCACACGAUGUGAAACCUAUAUUCUGCAAAUAGGUUAACAAAAUAAAGCGCCGUCCAGAUGGGUCGGUUGAGAGACAUAAGGCUCGACUAGUAGCUUGUGGCUUCUCUCAGCAGUACGGACUAGACUACGAUGAAACGUUUAGUCCGGUGGCAAAACUCACAACUGUAAGAGUCUUGCUUGCAUUGGCGGCUAACAAAAAUUGGAAGUUGUGGCAAAUGGAUGUGAAGAAUCCCUUUUUAAAUGGAGAGUUGGACCGAGUGAUUUACAUGAAUCAACCAAGUGGUUUCGAAAGUGUAACUCAUCCUAAUUUUGUUUGCAAACUCAGAAAAGCGCUUUACGGAUUAAAGUAGGCACCAUGUGCGUGGUACGGGAAGAUAGAUGAGUUUUUAAGCCUACGUGGUUAUGUGAUGACACAGUCAGAUUCUAGUUUAUUUGUUAAAAUAAGAGAAGGGAAGUUGGCAGUGUUGUUGGUAUACGUAGAUGAUUUAAUCAUUACAGGAGAUGACAUCAAAGAAAUUUUUCAAAUAAAGAAAAAUUUAUCAGUCCAUUUUCAGAUGAAAAAACUAGGAGAGCUCAAGCACUUCUUGAGAUUAGAGGUUGAUCAUACUGAAAAUGGGUUGUUUCUUUGUCAACAAAAGUAUGCUACAGACUUACUAAAAAGGUUUGGCAUGCUUGAAUGUAAGCCAAUAUCAACACCCAUGGAACCAAAUGCGAAAUUAUGUGCUAAUGAAGGAAAAGAUUUGCAAGAUUCAUCAAUGUAUCGACAAAUAGUAGGUAGUCUAAUCUACUUGACUAUAACCCGACCUGAUAUAUCAUAUUCAGUUGGUGUGAUAAGUCGAUACAUGCAAAAUCGAAUGAAGUCUCACUUAGAAGCUGUUCGAAGAGUACUCAGAUAUAUAAAAGGUACUGUAAGUUAUGGUCUGAUGUACAGGAAGGGUGAAGAUUGUAGUGUGCUUGGAUAUUGUGAUGCUGACUACGCAGGAGAUCAUGAUACUUGUAGGUCAACUACAGGGUAUAUGUUUAUGCUUGAAUCUAGGGCAGUUUCUUGGUGUAGUAAGAGACAACCAACAGUGUCUCUGUCAACAACAGAUGCCGAAUAUCGGGCAGCUGCAAUGGCAUCUCAAGAGAGCACAUGGCUGAUCCAACUAAUGCAAGAUUUGCAUCAGCCAGUAGACGCGGAAAUUCCACUCCUUUGUGAUAAUCAAUCAGCAAUUCGUUUGGCUGAAAAUCCAAUGUUUCAUGCAAGGACAAAAACAUGUUAAAGUACAUUAUCAUUUUCUUCGAGAAGAAGUUUUGCAAGGAGAGAUUGCAAUGAGACAUAUUGCGACACGUGAACAAGUUGCAGAUAUGUUUACCAAAAGCUUAAGUCCAGGAAAGUAUGAGAAGUUUCGCUGCCAACUGGGAGUUGUUCAGAGAAUGGGAACUAAAACAUUGAUGGAGAGUGUUAAAGUCAAUACUAGUCCCAAGUAACCCAAAAGUCUAAGUUACAGCUACCAAUUUUUUGUUUUUUAGUUAUGUAGUCCAGCAGUAUAAUAAAGGCAACUACUAGUUUCUGGUCGGAUAGUUUCUGAUUGAAUUAGUAUAUGAUUAUACAAUUCAAUGGCUUAGAUUAUGUCUGGUAUAUAUAUUGUAAGGUGUAGAUGAUUUGCUGGAACCUAUAAAUAUCCUUUGUAUCUGAGUUUAUUAAUAUAACAAGUAACAGUUUGUUUCUUAAGUCUAGAGAGAAAAGAUCAGUUCAUACUUGUUAGUGUAACUAGUGCGUUCUUAUUCUAAAGAGAGAAGAGUGAAUGCAGAGAGUGUUUUCUACAGAAUAUACCUGUGUUGUGUUAGUGUACUGAAGCUCAGUUUCAAGCUUUAAUGGCGUUUAUAACAACUUAAGAGUGAUAGAAUCUAAACAAGCCAUUUUAUGAGCAUGAUUAUCUCCCAAGACAGUCCGCAGUUGUGAUUUAGCACGCAACACAAAGAGAUGCAAUAACAAUAUGACUAGUGAGUGAGACUUGAGAUUUAGACCUGCAAUAUCACUUUAUACCCAAAGUUGAGACUCAUGUCUAACACUAAAAUUUUCUGUAAACAUAUUAAUUAUUUUGAUAUAGGGGUUAUUAGAUUUUAAUAUUGGUCCCUACUUGAUACCCAAAUAUCUUAUGAAUUACUCCCUCAAUCUCAUAUUAUGUGUCCAAUUUUGACUAUUAGAUGAUCAAUUUAACUAAACUUUGACCAUUAACUAAACAAAAUUUAUUAAUUAUUUUAAAAUUUUAAAAAUUGGAUUUUGAAGGGGAUUAGAUAUAUUUUUUAAUAAAGUAAGUUUUCAAUCUUUUGAAGUCGGAUAAUAUCUGUAAUUUGUGUUCAAAGUAUAGUCAAUUUGACUCUUCAAUAGUCAAAACAAAACACAUAAUAUGAGAUGGAGGGAGUAAAAAAAUUUAUCACCUUAGAGAAUAUUAAUUUAUAGGAUUUCACUAUAUUAGAUGUUGAAUUUCUUAUUUUAGUUAUUACUCCCGAUGUCCAAGAGAGUCGCUUUAACUCUUUACACGUAAUAUGAGAUGUAAGAAGACAUAUUUUUCAUAUUAUUUUUCAAAAAAAUUUUUUGUGAAUAAAAAUAUAGAUGUUAAAUUUUUAUUUAGAAAAUGAAACUUUGAAAAAUAAUAUAUAGAUAUAUGAUGUGUUUUUUACACCUAUGGGAUCGAUGGAAUAUUUAGUAAGCAAGUAGGGUUAAUAAUCGUCGUCGAAGGUGGUGCAAACAAUUAUGAAUGCCGAGUCAUUUUGUAUUUGUUUAGUAAUUUAUGGUAGAAGUCCACGGGCUAAGGGGUUGUUAAACUUUAAUUUUACAUGCUCAUCUUUUAGUAUACAACUAGUGAAAAAAGCCGCGCUUCACGGCGGCGUGAUAAAUUUUGAUAUGAAUCCGUAUUAUAAUAUUAUAAAUAUUAUUUUGAGUCAUCUUCCCGUUAAACAUAUCACAAAUAAAAAAUGUUAUAAUUGACGUAAAAAUUUGUUUAAGUGGUCAUCCUAUCAAACAUAAUACUAAUAAUAAAAUUAGUUCGAACCCCCUUCCGUCAAAGACAAUAUUAAUCCAUAAUUAUUAUUUAUAUGAUAAAAUUAAAUAUUAUAAUUUAGAUCGAAAUUAGUUUGAGCUUCUCUCUUAUCAAACACAAUACUAAUAACAAAACUUUAUAAUUUAAAUAUUAGUUAGAGUCUCUUUACUGUCAAACACAAUACUAAUAAAAAUUAUUCUAAUUAUAAUAAAAUUAAAGAUUAUAAUUGGAUAAAAAAUAUUUUGAACUGUGACAAAAAAAAUAUUAUAACAUAGAUAAAAAAUUAUUUUAGCCACUUUCCCGUCAAAAAUAAUACUCUUAGAAAAAAUUAUUAUUAUUUAGAUAAAAAUUAGUAUGGGCCGCCUCCCGUGCCCGUCAAAUACAAUACUAAUCGAGAAUCAUUUUACAUUAUCAUAAAAUCAAUAUAUGAUUCCUAUUUUUUAUAUCCUAUUUUUCUUUAUUUGUUAUUUUUAUUUUAUGAUUUCUAUUUAUUUGUUAAAAAUAUUAUUCGUUUAUGGUUCUUUUUUUUUUUUGCUAUUAGUUUUUUUUAUGAUUAUUAUCUUUAUAAUCUUUUAUUUCUAUUCAGAAAUUUAAGAAAAUCCGCGAUCUGAGGGGAAAUUGAAAGAGAUAAUUAAUGAAAAUGAUGAAAUUAGACGCAUGGAGGUUGUUAAUUACAUGUUCGUACCUCGCUUCGACAUCUUGAUCGAUCCGUUAUCUCUCUCGGGAUCUCUCCCUGAGGCGCCGUUGAUGAGGGGAGGAGGGGUUUAUAUGGAGAUCGGGCUUGUGUAGGUUUUAAGUGAAUAUUACUUCGUCAAUAAAACGACAUCGUCAGGUUCACUUUCUUGGGAGGGAAUUUGGUCGCCGCCGGUGCUCAAUAAAUAAAUUAAAUUAUAAAUUUUUUUAUUUGAAAUUUAAGAAAAUUAUUAGAAUAAAUCGGAAAUAUAAAUAGUAUUUAUUCUAUGAUUGUUAGUUUGAAUAAAUAUAAUCCUAUUAAUUCCUUUUGGGAUACGUAAAUAAGAAAAAAACUGAAUUAUAAAUAAAUAUUCGAUAGAGAUGAGAAGAUUGCAAUCACUACUUUUUGAAAAAAAAUUACAAAAAAAAUUAUAAAUUUAUAACUUUUGAGAAUAAGAAUCGUACUCUUUUUAAUAAUUUUUAUAUUAAUAUAUAAUUAACAAUAAGAAUUGUAUUACCCUUAUGAUUCCUGAAUUGGAAAAAGAAUUGUAUUACAUUUGGAACUCAAUAAGAAAAGAAUUGUAUGACCUUUAGAAUUCUUAAACAUGAUUUUUUGAAUUAUAACUAUAUUUUUCUCCGAAAUUUAAGAAAAAUCAGAAGACUGAAUCGAGCUAUUUUAGAGACGCCCGCAUUCUCCUUUAUAUACUUUAGAAUUCAAUACGAAAUACUAAAUAAGAAAAGAAUUGUAUCAUCUUUAGAAUUCAAUAUGAAAAGAAUUGUAUUACUUUUAGAAUUCUUGAACAUGAUUUUUUGAAUUAUAAUUAUAGUUUCUAUCCGAAAUUUAAGAAAAAUUAGAAGACUGAAUCGAGCAAUUCUAGAGACGCCUGCAUCCUCCUUUAUAUAUAUAUAUUGAUGAUCGUCAUUCAUUUGAAAAUUAUAUAAUAAAUUAAUAUUUAUAUACACAAGUAGGCUAGUAGUACUUGUAUUAAUCUGCUGGCUCCAUCAGUUCAGCUAUCAUUUUCUUAAUUGUACGUCAAAGGGGAAUAACAGUUAACAAUUAUAGAGAAUCUGAUGUGCAAAUACGCAAGUCACUUCAUCAUUAUUUAGUACUUAGUUGUACAACUAUGAGCUGAUUAGGGCUGUUCACGAACCGAGCCGAGCCGAGUUUUGACCGAGUCGAGCCGAGCUUUAAAUUUUUUCUUAUCGAACCGAGCCCACCCGAGCUUUCUUAUCGAACAAAAAAGUGUGUUCGAGCUCGAGCUCGAUAACUAACGAGCCGAACACGAGGUUGUUCACGAACAAAUACGAGCCGAGUCGAGCCGAGCCGAGUCGAGCUAGAGAAAAAUAAGGCCAAACCGCUACUUUACUCUUAAAAUAGCAAGCCAAAUAAAAUUUUUAGUAUGUUUUGAUGGUACCAUAUUAUAGUUGAUAUUCUCAUGAUCGAUUUGAUAUAUUAUAUGUUGAAUUCGGCGUUCAAUAACAUAUAUAUAUUACGAAAUUAUUAUGAAAAUAUUCUUUUUUUUCGAGCUUUAACGAGCCGAGCUCGAGCCGAACAUACUAAAAGCUCGGCUUGAGCUCGUUUUCUUAACGAACAAUUUUUUGUGUUCGAGCUCGAGCUCGUUAACUUAACGAGCCGAGCCGAACGAGCUCUUAACAAGCCGAGCUCGAGCUUGUUCGCGAACAGCUCGGUUCGUUAAACAGCUCUAGAGCUGAUCGGUUGUUGAACUUUGUUUUCACAUGCUCCUAAAUUAACAUAUAAUGAUUGUCAUUGUUUAGUAAUCUGCAGGCUUCAUGCAGCUCAACUCCUUUAUGAAGAGUUGUUUGCUUUCUGCAGAAGAGUAACAAAUUUCAAUGGCUGAAGCAAUUGUGUCUAUUGUUGUGGGAAGGCUCACUGAUUUGUUGAUUGAAAAAGCUCAUAUCCUUCAUGAAGUGAGAGAUGAAAUUGAAGUCGCCGUAGCUGGGCUCAUGCGGAUGAAAACAUUCUUACCAGAUGCUGAUUCAAGGAUCGAUGUAGAAAGAAUCCGGAUUUUGCUCCGCGAUGUACGAGAGCUUGCCUAUGAUGCUGAACAUGCUGUCGAAAGUUUUGUUAUCAAAGCCUCAUCUACUAAAAAAUCAUUUCAGUGGAUGAACAGAGGCAUGUUUUCAAGAAAGAUAAAAAAUAUACAAAAAAAGAUGUCCAUCUUCUUCGAUUUAUUUUCUGAUUAUAAUAUCAGACCAACUUCUGAAUCAUCAACUUCCUCCAACAGAGAAUCGGGAAAACUAAAGCGAUUUCACUCUUUCACUACUCCUGAACCAGAGAUAUUUGUUGGAUAUCAUAAAGACGUUGAACGCUUGGUGCGACGUUUGGUGAAUGAAGCUGAUGAUUCUUACCCACUUAUAUCUAUUUGUGGAAUGGGGGGUCUGGGAAAGACCACUCUCGCUCAAAAGAUAUACAAUCACUCUGCCAUCAAGACUCACUUUGCUGGUUUAGCAUGGGUAACAAUCUCGCAAAAGUGGCAAACAGAUCGUGUGUUGCAAAGAAUUCUCAUAUGUCUCGUCCCUGAGAACAAAGAGUCUAUCCUUAAUAUGGACACUGACAAGCUAGUGGAGUAUAUGCUACAAAUCCAGGAAAGGAAGAAAUGUUUGAUAGUUCUCGAUGAUAUAUGGUCACCUCAUGCUUGGGAUGCAUUAAAAGCUGCAUUUCCAGCCGGGAAGUCCAUGAGCAAAUUAAUGCUUACAAGCCGUAAUGCUGAGGUUGCUGAGCAUGUAAAUUUAAACGGAUUCAUUCACAAACCAAAAAUUUUAAGUCCGGAACAAAGUUGGGAGCUACUCAAGUUGAAAGCACUUCACACAGGAAACUAUCUAGGUUCAUAUACUUCUUUUGAUCAUAUACUGUUUUUUACCAUAUGUUUUGUCCGGGAACCUUAACCAACCAUAUUUUUUGUUACUUGAGUUCGAUAAGUUUGGUUAGAGAUCUGUCCAAAAAUCUUAAAGAACAUUGUUCUCUCAAACAUUUUGUUCGUGUUCGUUUGAAUUCGGCUCGUUUACAAAUCUAUGUAUAAGAAUUGUAAACGAAUCUAACGGUUCAUUAAGCGUGCUCUUGAGGUUGAGUUAGCAAACUCGAGUUCAAACCAAAUAUUUUAAACAUAUUAGUUAAACGACUAAAUUAUAAAUUAUCUUGGCUUGUCUGUGUGGGUCUAUAUAUAUACACACACAUAUGAUUCAUGUUUCUUGUGUGCUGCAGACAUUACCAGAGAUGUAAAAAGGAUGGAAGAACUGGGAAGGGAAAUGGUUGAACAUUGUGCCGGUCUUCCGCUAGCUAUAGUCAUUUUGGGUGGAAUUUUGGUAACAAAACCGUCGUUGAUAGAGUGGGAGAAGGUAUAUCGUGAUAGUAAAUCAUCCCUAAAGGCGGGGAAAGGACUGGGAGAAGCCUAUCAAAGGGGAAUAGUAAGUGUUUUAGUUUGGAGUUACAAUGAUUUACCCCCUCAGCUGAAGCCAUGCUUUAUGUAUUUAUCUAAGUUUGGUGAAGAUAAAUGGAUAGAAUCACAGACUUUGUAUCAGCUAUGGAUCGCUGAAGGAAUGGUACUCUCGAGUGACAAAAGAGAAGGAGAAACAAUGAUUCAAGUUGCCGAAUCAUACAUGGGAGAACUAGUCCACAGGAGUAUGGUUCAAGUAAGAUUUAACAACGUGGAAUCAUCUCUUACAAAGUUUGAAGAUUUUUCUCUGCACGACCUUAUGAGAGACAUGUCUUUAAUACAAGCAAAAGCAGAAGAUUUUAUUGAAGAUAUACAUUU
rnacentral:lncRNA from 1 species